GUACAUCUAUUUUGGUGACAGAGGAGAGAGGAAGAAUUAGAGAUAUGAAGAAAGGGAGCCAAUUUGUAACUUUUACUCUUUCCUUUAUAAUGAUAAAAAAUAAAGAGAGAGAAAGGAAUUUCCAGAAUAUCUUCUUGGAAUAAUAAAACAAAAUGUCAAAUUUUCCCAAGUUCUUCAUGCUGCUCUCCGAAAAACAAUUUCUUUACUGCAAUACCCUAUCUGGAAAUAGUGUCCUCGAAAACAUGCAAUUCUCCAAAAACACUUCUUAAGGUUUUUCAAAAUUCUUAUUGCAUCUUUAAGCUUGCUCUGUGUUGCGCCUGAAUUGUUAAUUGACUAACUAGACGGAGGGCCCAAACUAUGUCAGCUGUUCUCAAUCCUGGCUGCAUAUUGGAAUCACCUGCAGAGGCUUUAGAACCUGUUGGAUCCCGCCUCCAGAGAUUCUGACUUGACUUGAUUAGCUGAAGGCCCAGGCACUGGGAGUUUUAUAAAGCUCCCCAGGUGACUGUAUUGUAAGUUGCUAGGGGCUGACGUUUAAAGGCCUAACAUGUGGUGGGGGUUGGGGGGUGGCGGGAGGAAGGUGACGAGAGAAAGCGCUUGCUGUUAAAUGAAUCGGUGAAUCUCUAACUGAUGGAAUAAAGGUAGGGGAAAUAAUUUUGAGUGUAGGAAACAUAUGAUAGGGGUCAAUGAAAGAAGAAACUUCUUUCCAGAACUGCCCAUCUCCGUCCUCCCUCUGCACAGCUGGGCCUGAGCUGCACCCUUAAACCAUCUGUGCUUGGUGGCCUGGAAUCUAGAAAGCGCGGUGCCUACCUGCAAUGGAGGUUUGGUGUUAAGGACGAGAUUUAUAUGAUCCAGGUGAACACACUGGGAUUCAUCACGGAAAGAACUCAACCCAUGGAGAAUGAAGAGGAGCAAGACAGGAAAAUCACCCAUCUGGGAAUGGCAUGGAGCCAGGGGAGGCUCCCCAACCAUGGGGAAAUGGUGCUCACCAUUGGCCAGCCCCACCAAAAGCCAAACUAUAAGGAGGCAUCCAGCCAAACAGCCUCUUCAGUCUUGGAACAGCUUGGAAAAUGAAUCUGGAAGGACAAAUAGGUGAUCUACAGCAUAAUCUCCAUUAUAGUGUACUUUCUCUUCAUCCGGUUGAUUUGGUUUGGAUCUGUGUCCCCACCCAAAUCUCAUGUUGAACUGUAAUCUCCAGUGUUGGAGGUGGGGCCUCGUGGGAGGUGUUUGGAUCAUGAAGGCAGAUUCCUUAUGAAUGAUUUGGGCCAUCCCUUUGGUGAUGAGUGAGCUCUUGCUCUGAGUUGACAGGAGAUCUGGUCAUUCAAAAGUGUGUGACAUGCUCCCUGCCUCCACCUGCUCUUGCUCAUGCUUUUGCCAUGUGACUUGCCUGCCCCUUGUUCGCCUUCUGCCAUGAUUGUAAGCUUCCAGAAGCCUCCCUGGAAGCUGAGUAGUUGCCAGCACCAUGCUUCCUGUAAAGUCUGAAGAACUGUGAAUGAAUUAAACUUCUUUUCUUUAUAAAUUACUUUAUAAAUGGUAAAGGUAUUUCUUUACAGUAAUGCAAGAAUGCCCUAAUACACAGGUCCGAGAUCAAAGGAUAAAAAAUUA
rnacentral:lncRNA from 10 species